GACGAACGCUGGCGGCGUGCCUAAUACAUGCAAGUUGAGCGAUGAAGCUUGGUGCUUGCCCCAAUUUGAAGAGCAGCGAACGGGUGAGUAACGCGUGGGGAAUCUGCCUUUGAGCGGGGGACAACAUUUGGAAACGAAUGCUAAUACCGCAUAAUAACUUUAAACAUAAGUUUUAAGUUUGAAAGAUGCAAUUGCAUCACUCAAAGAUGAUCCCGCGUUGUAUUAGCUAGUUGGUGAGGUAAAGGCUCACCAAGGCGAUGAUACAUAGCCGACCUGAGAGGGUGAUCGGCCACAUUGGGACUGAGACACGGCCCAAACUCCUACGGGAGGCAGCAGUAGGGAAUCUUCGGCAAGAGACGAAAGUCUGACCGAGCAACGCCGCGGGAGUGAAGAAGGUUGUCGGAUCGUAAAACUCGGUUGGUAGAGAAGAAAGUUGGUGAGAGUGGAAAGCUCAUCAAGUGACGGUAACUACCCAGAAAGGGACGGCUAACUACGUG
rnacentral:rRNA from 1 species